UUGCUUGUUUCUACGAUCGUUUCGUGUGGCGACAAGUGGUGCUUUGGCCUGGAGUCGUUUCAAGAGCGGUGGUCGAGACAGCUCUUGAAGGCUUCAGCUUGAAUCCACAAUCCAUUUGCGGAGUCGUCCGUCCGGAGCCCGUCGUCCCGGGACUUAUACGAGAGUUUUUGUUUUCAAUUUCAAAAACUGCAAGACAGCGACUCCCGUCGUCGCUGCACUGGAUGUUUGUUCGUGUCGCGCAGAGUCGUGACACGCCACAAGAUGAGCGAAACGUGGACGUUUUGUACAGCGAGACGGAACAAGAAACGACGACAAUGUCCCGUCGUCUCUGUCCUUGUGUUGCUUGUGUCUUGCGCGGAAUUGUUACCCUUUUUUUCUAGCCAGAGAUAUGUGUACAUGAACGCGACAGGAUCUUAUCGUACCCACCUCCUUGCACCGAUCCCUUCAGCGUGCCGGUGACUCAGUAAGCUUGUGGAAUAACAGGUGAUUGUGAACGAAGAAAACUCGCGGUGGAGAAACCGUGUGCACUCACACUGAGUUUCUCUUCUGUAUACUCUACCUCCCCUCGUUUUUACUUUAAAGGAACAGUACGUUGACUGGUGUUGAGAAGGGUCGAUUGAGAGUUACGUGUAUGGCUGCAUGCUGAAUUUCUCCUCCGAUAUAACCGCGCAUAUCUCUAUGAAUAUCACAGUUACUUUUGUAUCUCGUUCCAGUGGGAGAUCAAUACAUUGUGAAGCCCUUCUCCAAAGAGCGAGGAAUGACACCAUUUGAAGACAAGACUGCGUAGCUCCAUUUGAAUACAUGGCAACACCUGUUCUGACACCCAGUACAGAUGUUUAAUUUCCAAGUAAAUGCGGCACAGACAGGUGCCCACCAACGGAGAAAAUCAUCCUGAUGUCUUAGAUGUAGUCUAAUCCACGGGCUCUGUACCACUGCAACUUGUGCCCUUAUACGACGAGGCACAGCGGUCACUUCAACAUGCACUUGAGGACACACACCGGUGAGAGGCCGUUCAAGUGCCGAUAUUGUGGCUUCAGUUCGACGAGAAAGGACGGAAUCACGACGCACGAGAGGUUGCACACCGGCGAGAAGCCGUACAAGUGCCGGUCCUGCCCUUACGCCACCUCGCACAGCGGGAACCUCAGGUUGCACGAGCGGAAGAUGCACAACAAGCAGUGUGGUGCAAAACAGUUCAAGUGCAAGCUUUGUUCCUAUACGUCUGUCUACAGCCUCUGUGUGACCAAUCACGAAAGAGUACACCAUUCUCAAAAUUCGCCCUAGCGAUACUGCGAAAGCUCUCUGGUCCCGUCAUGCACGAAUUACUUGUGCUCAACAUCGCUGUCGAAUUGUGGUCGUGAACGUACCAAUGAGGAAUUCGAAAUAAAGCAGAAGGUACCGGU